rnacentral:rRNA from 1 species
CCCUUAGAUGUUCUGGGCCGCACGCGCGCUACACUGAUGCAUUCAACGAGUUUCUUCCUGGUCCGAGAGGAAUGGGUAACCUUUUGAAAGUGCAUCGUGAUAGGGAUAGACUAUUGCAAUUAUUGGUCUUCAACGAGGAAUUCCUAGUAGACGUAGUUCAUCAGACUGCAUCGAUUACGUCCCUGCCCUUUGUACACACCGCCCGUCGCUCCUACCGAUUGAAUGCUCAGGUGAGCCAUUCGGACUUUCAUCAUGCUGGUUUCCAGUUUUGAUGAAGGAAAGUCUUGAACCUUAUCAUUUAGAGGAAGGAGAAGUCGUAACA